rnacentral:pre_miRNA from 1 species
GAAAUACUCCCUCCGUCCGGAAAUACUCGUCGAAGAAAUGCAUAAAAAUGGAUGUAUUUAAAACUAAAAUACGUCUAGAUACAUCCAUUCCUUCGACAAGUAUUUCCGGACGGAGGGAGUACUUG